rnacentral:lncRNA from 1 species
AGUUCUCUCCUUUUGUGAGAGCUUUUCUCUCCACCCCACCCCGUGAGAGCCUUUUCAACAUGUGUUAUGAGCCUUCUUCAAACUUCCCUCUCCUCCGUCACCGGCCCUUGCCAUGGCCUGGGUCAGUGGUUCUCGGGUUUAGUUUUCCCUGCAAGCUGUCUACUAAUCGUCACCAAUAUGUGCUUUAAUUUUCUAAUUCCUAUGCCAUCAAUUCCAAUUUCUUUUCACCAUCGUUUCCAUCCUUCACCUCCUUGGCCCUCCGCAAACCCAUUUGAUUUUGGAUUUAUAGCUACUUUGUGAUAAUUUUCUCAGGAUGUGUUGUUGUGAUUUUCUCGGGAUGUGCGUAAAGCUCCGGUGCAGGCUUCAGCUCAGGUGUUUACACCACCACCUCCUAUGGAUUUGUCUUCGAUGGCUUUGUUGCCUUCGGAGACGUUGUUGCUGAUGAGUUCUUUCAUCAGCUUCCUGUGUUUUGUUACAGAUCUAUCAUCUAUGGUGCUUUGGGAUGGUUGUUGGAGUCGUAUAUUCAUCAUUUUUGUGGAAUUACUUGGCUAGAUUUGGGCGUCUAUUGGGCGGAGGUUUUGCAGCGACGCAUCAACAACGGUUGUAAGGAAGUUAUGGUUUUUUGUUUCUAGGCUUAAACUUGUGGCUUGGGCUUUGUUUUGGGGUCCAUAUUUUCUUUUGGUCUUUUUUGUAUUGGGACCUCAACAGCUGUAAAUGUUGUAAAUUUGUGUGGUUGGUAAUGUAUCUUACUUGGUGCCCUCUUUGUAGGGUAACCUGUUGUGGAGCCAAAAAUAUUCACUAGACGACACGUGGACUUUUGGACGAAAGAGGACAAAAAUACCCUUGAGGCAUACCAGGAUUCCUACACACGAGCAGCGGGCAAUCAUCUUUCAAUCAAGUCAAAAGUGCCCA